rnacentral:rRNA from 1 species
UGGCGGCCGGGUGUUAACGCGUGGGCAACCUACCCUACAACCGGGAUACCAUCGGGAAACUGAUGUUAAUACCGGAUACACUUAACAUAGGGCAUCCUAUGUUAAGGAAAGAUUNAUCGCUGUAGAUGGGCCUGCGUCCAUUAGCUAGUUGGUAGGGUAACGGCCUACCAAGGUCGACGAUGGAUAGCUGGUCUGAAGGACGAUCAGCCACACUGGGACUGACACACGGCCCAGACUCCUACGGGAGGCACAGUGGGGGAUAUUGCACAAUGGGCGAAAGCCUGAUGCAGCGACGCCGCGUGCGGGAUGACGGCCUUCGGGUUGUAAACCGCUUUCAGCAGGGAAGAAGCGCAAGUGACGGUACCUGCAGAAAAGCGCCGGCUAACUACGUGCCAGCAGCCGCGGGUAAUACGUAGUGGCGCGAGCGUUAUCCGGAAUUAUUGGGCGUAAAGAGCUCGUACGCGGUUUGUCGCGUCUGCUGUGAAAGCCCGGGGGCUUUACCCCGGUUGUGCAGUGGGUACGGGGCAGACUACAGUGCACUACGGGAGACUGAA